GAUGAACGCUGGCGGCGUGCCUAAUACAUGCAAGUCGAGCGAACGGACGAGAAGCUUGCUUCUCUGAUGUUAGCGGCGGACGGGUAAGUAACACGUGGAUAACCUACCUAUAAGACUGGGAUAACUUCGGGAAACCGGAGCUAAUACCGGAUAAUAUUUUGAACCGCAUGGUUCAAAAGUGAAAGACGGUCUUGCUGUCACUUAUAGAUGGAUCCGCGCUGCAUUAGCUAGUUGGUAAGGUAACGGCUUACCAAGGCAACGAUGCAUAGCCGACCUGAUAGGGUGAUCAGCCACACUGGAACUGAGACACGGUCCAGACUCCUACGGGAGGCAGCAGUAGGGAAUCUUCCGCAAUGGGCGAAAGCCUGACGGAGCAACGCCGCGUGAGUGAUGAAGGUCUUCGGAUCGUAAAACUCUGUUAUUAGGGAAGAACAUAUGUGUAAGUAACUGUGCACAUCUUGACGGUACCUAAUCAGAAAGCCACGGCUAACUACGUG
rnacentral:rRNA from 1 species